UCCUUCUCUCAGUUCUCUGUGCCGACUGUGCGACUUUCUUCUCUGUUCGAAGCCUAGCAAAAAAAUUCACUUUACCAAUCUACACCCUCACUCCGUUCGUCGCCGACGCCGUUGCUCGCCGCAUCUGUGAGACUCCAUCGCCAUCGCCAUCGCCAUCGCCUUAACAAGUCCCAAGUCCCAAGUCCCAAAUCGAAGCUGCUCUCUGCCUCUCCGGCCUCCGCCAGUCCGCCGCGCUGUACGUCUCCUGUCGGCUGUGUCCUGCCAUGCUGGUUCAUCGCUGCCGAGUGUCGAAGACGAAGCACCAAGAUCUCACUAGUUCAUCGCUGGUUCAUCACUGCUCAUCUCUGGCUCACUUAGUCGGGCAGAAUCUUUGUCAAGAAAAUGCAAAGUGGCACUAGACAUUCAACGAGUUGCUCAAGAUUAGAAGGCAAUGUCGAAGGAGUUGGUAUGGCAAUUA